rnacentral:rRNA from 1 species
CAGGUAGCAUAAUCAGUAGUCUCUUGAUUGGGGGCUGGGAUGAAAGGCUAGAUGAAAUACACGCUGUCUCCAUNGUGAUAAAUAAAAAUUUAAUUUUUUAGUUAAAAAGCUGAAAUAAAAUUAAGGGACGAGAAGACCCUAUAGAUCUUUAUAAAGGUAAAUGAANAAAUUUAGAAGAAUUAAAAUUUUAUUGAAAUUUUAUUUUGUUGGGGUGACAGGGAAAUAAAAAAACUUUCUUGACAUUUUACACAAAUUUGUGAAUGACAUAGAUCCAAACAUUUUGAUUAAAAGACUAAGUUACCUUAGGGAUAACAGCAUAAUCCUUUCUGAGAGUUCUAAUCGAGGAAAGGGGUUGUGACCUCGAUGUUGAAUUAAGAU